GAUGAACGCUGACAGAAUGCUUAACACAUGCAAGUCGAUGGGGAAGUGGUGCUUGCACCAUGGCAACCAUGGCGGACGGGUGAGUAACGCGUAAGGGACUUACCUGCAGGACUGGGAUAACAGGGGGAAACUCCUGACAAGACCGGAUAAUGUCAUGGAGCUGCAUGGCUUUAUGAUGAAAGGAGACGCCUGCGGAGAGCCUUGCGUCCUAUUAGCUAGUUGGUGAGGUAAUGGCUCACCAAGGCGAAGAUAGGUAGCCGGCCUGAGAGGGUGGACGGCCAAAAGGGGACUGGGAUACGGCCCUUACUCCUACGGGAGGCAGCAGUGGGGAAUAUUGGACAAUGGGGGCAACCCUGAUCCAGCAAUUCUGUGUGCACGAAGAAGGUUUUCGGAUUGUAAAGUGCUUUCAGCAGGGAAGAAGUAAGUGACGGUACCUGCAGAAGAAGCGACGGCUAAAUACGUG
rnacentral:rRNA from 1 species